AGCAGUAGCCACGGUAAUACAGAGGGUGCGAGCGUUAAUCGGAUUUACAGGGCGUAAAGCGUGCGUAGGCGGCUUCUUAAGUCGGAUGUGAAAUCCCUGAGCUUAACUUAGGAAUUGCAUUCGAUACUGGGAAGCUAGAGUAUGGGAGAGGAUGGUAGAAUUCCAGGUGUAGCGGUGAAAUGCGUAGAGAUCUGGAGGAAUACCGAUGGCGAAGGCAGCCAUCUGGCCUAAUACUGACGCUGAGGUACGAAAGCAUGGGGAGCAAACAGGAUUAGAUACCCCUGUAGUCCCUGUCUCUUAUAC
rnacentral:rRNA from 1 species